rnacentral:tRNA from 1 species
AUCUUUUUAGUACAAUAAAAGUAUGCUUGGCUUCCAACCAAGAGACCUUGGUUCAAACCCAAGAAAAGAUA